AGGGAAGAAAGUGGAUAGGGAGGCGAAGGAGUGGAAGUGCAGAUGAAUGAGUAGGUAAGAACUAGUGAUAAUUAGGGAGGUUAUUGAUGAUGUAGGAGGAGGGAAGGGUGAAGGAGAAAGAGAGGCAAAUGAAAAGGCAAGAGAAGUAGUUGAGAGAUAUGAAGGAUGGAGGAACAUAAGGGGAAGAAGAGGAGAGUGAGGAGAAUGAGGAGAGGAGAGGGGGAA
rnacentral:lncRNA from 1 species